rnacentral:rRNA from 4 species
UUGGGAAGUCCUUGUGUUGCACCC